AGCGAACGCUGGCGGCAGGCCUAACACAUGCAAGUCGAACGAAGCCUUCGGGCUUAGUGGCGGACGGGUGAGUAACACGUGGGAACGUACCUUUUGGUUCGGAACAACUCAGGGAAACUUGAGCUAAUACCGGAUGAGCCCUUAGGGGGAAAGAUUUAUCGCCGAAAGAGCGGCCCGCGUUAGAUUAGCUAGUUGGUGAGGUAAAGGCUCACCAAGGCAACGAUCUAUAGCUGGUCUGAGAGGAUGAUCAGCCACACUGGGACUGAGACACGGCCCAGACUCCUACGGGAGGCAGCAGUGGGGAAUCUUGCGCAAUGGGCGAAAGCCUGACGCAGCCAUGCCGCGUGAAUGACGAAGGUCUUAGGAUUGUAAAAUUCUUUUACCAGGGACGAUAAUGACGGUACCUGGAGAAAAAGCCCCGGCUAACUUCAUGCCAGCCGCCGCUGUAAUAC
rnacentral:rRNA from 1 species